rnacentral:misc_RNA from 1 species
UUUCCGUAGGUGAACCUGCGGAAGGAUCAUUAUCGUAAAACCGAGGUGCGAGGGCUGUCGCUGACCUUUUCGGUCGUGCACGCCCGAGCGCUCUCACACAAUCCAUCUCACCCCUUGUGCACCACCGCGUGGGUCCCUUUCUGGCUCGUCCGGAGGGGGGCUCGCAUUUUCACACAAACUUGAAGUAGUGUAGAAUGUCCCUUUUUUGCGAUAACACGCAAUCAAUACAACUUUCAACAACGGAUCUCUUGGCUCUC